rnacentral:rRNA from 1 species
AUGGUGUCACCCUUUCUUUGCUAUAAUCAUAUCUUUCUUCCUGAGUUUUGCAUCUUCCUGUUAUUCCUUUACCAUGCUCUGGUUUACUUGAGCAUUCCUGAGUAUUGGUAUUCUAUUGAUUUGAUCCAUUGUGAUGUUCUUGGGACAGUCUGGAUACUUGUUACGCUCAGUGCAGACAUCACUAGAUAUUUUAUUUUUGCUAGUUUAAGUUUUGAAACAUUCUGGCAUUUUGUAAUGCUGGCAAUGCGGUAUCUACAGUUAAGAAUGCAAAUGCAGCAGUACAUAUUUGAUGAAACCUCUCAUCUCAUUUGUUUUUCAUAUGGAAGGAGCAAUUACCCUUUUUUUUCUGUUUAA